UACGAAAGGGGCUAGCGUUGCUCGGAUUGACUGGGCGUAAAGGGCGCGUAGGCGGUUCGUACAGUCAGACGUGAAAUUCCUGGGCUCAACCUGGGGGCUGCGUUUGAUACGUGCGGACUUGAGUGCGGAAGAGGGUCGUGGAAUUCCCAGUGUAGAGGUGAAAUUCGUAGAUAUUGGGAAGAACACCGGUGGCGAAGGCGGCGACCUGGUCCGAUACUGACGCUGAGGCGCGAAAGCGUGGGGAGCAAACAGG
rnacentral:rRNA from 1 species